rnacentral:rRNA from 1 species
AUGUACUCUUACUUCGAGAAAGAUCUAGCUGGUUGUGACUAUAGACGGAUUUGGAAGGCUUAGCUGCCUGUCAAAUUCUAGAUUUUCUUAUGCCAACUUUUCCAAGAUGCAGUUCUAACCAGAGAUGUUAUGAAGCGAAGAGACUGGGCUGGCAAUCCCCGCUAUUCCUUUUGCGACUGUAGAGAAACUUAUUUGCACCUGUUCUUUCUUUGUCCCCUGGAGAGGAUAGCCUGGUGCACGGUGAGGAUGAUGUUCGGGACUGAUUUAUGCCCCAACAACUUAUUUCAGUUUUACUCUUGGUGCUAUGCUUUUUUACCUCAGGGGGAACAAUAUUUCACAAUGGGGUUGGCAGCCAUUUGCUGGGCUAUUUGUAAUCGCAGAAACCAAGCCACUUUUGAAUUCAAGAAACUGUCAUCUCCUUUUGAGAUUGUUUUCGCUGCAUGUAUGCAUCUAGAUUAUUGGGCAAGACUCAUGAAGGGCGAAAAGUGA